rnacentral:rRNA from 1 species
AUUGAACGCUGGCGGCAUGCCUUACACAUGCAAGUCGAACGGCAGCACGGGAGCAAUCCUGGUGGCGAGUGGCGAACGGGUGAGUAAUAUAUCGGAACGUGCCCAGUAGUGGGGGAUAGCCCGGCGAAAGCCGGAUUAAUACCGCAUGAGACCUGAGGGUGAAAGCGGGGGAUCGCAAGACCUCGCGCUAUUGGAGCGGCCGAUAUCAGAUUAGCUAGUUGGUGGGGUAAAGGCCUACCAAGGCAACGAUCUGUAGUUCGUCUGAGAGGACGCCCAGCAAAACUAGGACUGGGACACGGCCCAGCCUCCUACGGGAGGCAGCAGUGGGUAAUUUUGGACAAUGGGCGCAAGCCUGAUCCAGCAAUGCCGCGUGCAGGAAGAAGGCCUUCGGGUUGUAAACUGCUUUUGUCAGGGAAGAAAUCCCUUGGGAUAAUACCUCGGGGGGAUGACGGUACCUGAAGAAUAAGCACCGGCUAACUACGUGCCAGCAGCCGCCGUAACAC